AGAACGAACGCUGGCGGCGUGUUUAAGACAUGCAAGUCGCACGGAAUGAAUUAAGUAGUAAUACCUAAUGAUUUCAGUGGCGCACGGGUGAGUAACACGUGAAUUACAUGCCCUUCAGUGGGGAAUAGCCCAGGGAAACUUGGAUUAAUACCCCAUGGUAUCGCAAGAUUAAAGGUGGCCGCAAGGCUGCCGCUGAAGGAUUGGUUCGCGCCCUAUCAGCUUGUUGGUGAGGUAACGGCUCACCAAGGCUACGACGGGUACCUGGUCUGAGAGGACGAUCAGGCACACUGGAACUGAGACACGGUCCAGACACCUACGGGUGGCAGCAGUCGAGAAUAAGUUCACAAGUGGGGACAACCCGUGAUGGUGCAACGCCGCGUGGAGGAUGACGGUCGUUAGGAUUAGUAACCUCCUGUCAGUACCGGGAAGAAAACCGUGGAAGUUAAUAGUACUACACAGGGUUGAGUACGGUAACCGGAAGGAA
rnacentral:rRNA from 1 species